rnacentral:snoRNA from 1 species
AAUCUGUGAUGUGGGCAUUUCUGAAUCAACGUUUUAAAUGCUCUCAUGCUUCAUGAAAACUUUUCCCCUCUAACUGUUUGAACAUCAAAAUUUCCAUUCUUAGCU